rnacentral:lncRNA from 1 species
CCAAAUCUAAGCGCACAACCAUCCCUCACAAUUUGAAUUCUACCCCAGCAAGUACAGACACGUCCUCUGCAACCUCACACAGAUACGAAAGCGUCAUAAAGCACACCGCACUACGCCGCCACCACGACCUCCAAAACAUGUAUAACGACUGAAAUAAGCGGACGCAUUCUACUCACACACAAGCAUGACAUAUAAGCGGGACGAGGCCGAACAAUACACGAUGGCAUGCCAGAUCCAGAAAAUUAAAAUGAUCAGCAAUUUAAACACCAUGACAACACGUACAGGAAAGGAAAUAUGCAUUUUAGCUAGACAGAAAGCAAGCAAACCUCGAUGGCAGAACAGAGAUGCAACAAAGCAGAAGAUCAGGAUGCAGCAACACAAGAGAUCGCAGAACCUAAUAAAUAAAUGGACAUGAAGUGGUCAGUGCACCGGCAUGCUAUGGAAUAGACAAGUAAAAGAAGAGUCGUUCCCCGGGCAAAUUAAAGAACGGUCCAUUUACCUGAGUUAGAGUGGAGAAGCAGGCAAGCAGAGCAGCCAAGAUGGAUGAGCAUACGAAGGACGAGCGGCCGGCAAAACCAAACACAAAAACAGAAACCAAAUAGAGAUCAAUUUUCAGCUCAACCAGUAGAUUCACUCCUUCAGGUAUACAUCCUAAUUGGUCCUACAAUGAUCACAAGAAAUUAGAGGAUGGAACUUGACUGCCUUCUGUAUCAUUUGAAGGACGAACUUGACUGGCUAUUAAAAUGAUAAAAUGCAUGAUUGCCGCGGCACAUGUACUUUUUUGUGGGAAAACAUGCUGUUAGGUGCAGAAGUAAAGAACAUAUCGCAUGGUUGCUUGUUGGCAUGUAUAAAAUCAUCAGACCAAGACAGAAGAACCAUGAUUAUCAUAUGUACUGGAACCAAGAUCUACAUAGUGGCAGCCAUUGAUCUAGUUACUCAAGGGUAGUGCUACUGUUAAACAACAACUCUAAAGCAAAGUUACUGAAUC